GACCGGGAAAAGCUGGUUCUUUGAGGCAUUAGUGCCGUGACCUCUCAGGCUGAUGGCUUUCUGAUUAAAGUCGUUAUUCCUGCCCCAGGAACUUGCCUCCCGAUGUACUGGUCUUUCGUGUGGUGAGCAGAAGUCCUUAUCAACUCUGUCAGAAGUGACCGGACCAUCUCUCCUGUGGAGUGGAAUCUCAGACAAAUGUGUCCUCCAGUCUUUGAAGAUGGCUCCCGAAAGCUGAAAACUCCCUCCCCUAUAGCAGCUAAAAUCCAAAACAAGCACUCUGAAAAGACCCAAAUUCACACUUGGAAGUUUGGAAAUUAAAAAAUCACAAACCAAGCCACAACCUACUUAGAUCACCUGAGAAUGGGCUCCUCUUCUUCCCUGGACCUUGUGAUUUCCACUCAGCCCUCCACUUCUACCAUAACCUCAGUGGGCUUCCUGGAGUCCUGCCAAGAGAGCCAGCUGCCACUUGAAUCCUGGGACUAAUCUUCACCCCCGAUGAGGGACAUACAAGAUCGCUCAAGUGUGGCAAUAAUUCACUAGUUCAACCUCCAGGAAAGAAGGCAAAUUGAGGCACUGUUACUUCCUUUUGGCCAGGAACUACUUGGGACCAGCAGCGAGUUCCUUAGACCUUCACUAAACUAUGCCAAGAUAGCUGCUGCCAAGACGCUUCAGUCGUGUCCGACUCUGCAACCCGAGAUGGCAGCCCACCAGGCUCCCCGAUCCCUGGGAUUCUCCAGGUCGAGAAGAUCCUCUGGAGUAGGAAAUGACUACCCACUCCAGUAUCCUUGCCUGGAAACUUCCAUGGACAAAGGAUCAUGACAGGCUAUAGUCCAUGGGUCCUGUCUGAUUGAGCAACUGAGCACAUAUUUAUUCC
ensembl:lncRNA